rnacentral:rRNA from 1 species
CCUACGGGGUGCAGCAGUGGGGAAUAUUGCGCAAUGGGCGAAAGCCUGACGCAGCGACGCCGCGUGAGGGAUGAAGGUCUUCGGAUCGUAAACCUCUGUCAGCAGGGAAGAACGGUCACUGUGCUAAUCAGCAGUGAAUUGACGGUACCUGCAAAGGAAGCACCGGCUAACCCCGUGCCAGCAGCCGCGGUAAUACGGAGGGUGCGAGCGUUAAUCGGAAUUACUGGGCGUAAAGCGCUCGUAGGCGGUAGGUCAAGUCAAGGGUGAAAUCCCCGCCAGCAACGUGGGAACUGCCUUUGAAACUGGCAAACUGGAGUGUGUGAGAGGAUAGUGGAAUUCCAGGUUUAUGAGUGAACUCCGUAGAUAUCUGGAGGAACAUCAGUGGCGAAGGCGACUAUCUGGCACAUAACUGACGCUGAGGAGCGAAAGCGUGGGUAGCAAACAGGAUUAGAUACCCUGGUAGUC